GAUGAACGCUAGCGGCAGGCUUAAUACAUGCAAGUCGAGGGGUAGCAAGAUUGUAGCAAUACAAUUGUUGACGACCGGCAAACGGGUGCGGAACACUUACACAACCUUCCUACAAGUGGGGAAUAGCCCAGAGAAAUUUGGAUUAAUACCCCGUAACAUAGCGAUGUGGCAUCACAUUGCUAUUAUAGCUUCGGCGCUUGUUGAUGGGUGUGCGGCUGAUUAGAUAGUUGGCGGGGUAACGGCCCACCAAGUCUACGAUCAGUAGCUGAUGUGAGAGCAUGAUCAGCCACACGGGCACUGAGACACGGGCCCGACUCCGACGGGAGGCAGCAGUAAGGAAUAUUGGACAAUGGACGCAAGUCUGAUCCAGCCAUGCCGCGUGAAGGAUUAAGGUCCUCUGGAUUGUAAACUUCUUUUAUAAGGGACGAAAAAAGGUCUUUCUAGAUCGUCUGACGGUACCUUAUGAAUAAGCACCGGCUAACUCCGUGCCAGCAGCCGCCGUAACAC
rnacentral:rRNA from 1 species